rnacentral:lncRNA from 1 species
AAACACCAAUUAACUAAUGUAUACAGUGUUGAGUUAAAGAGAAACUACUGAGGAAAAAGAAUUGAAAAAGGAUUACAUUACAUUACUUUGAAGACUUGUCAAUGAAGAUUACAAAUCUUUGUAGAUUAUAUUUUGUAGAAUCAAUCAAAGAAGACAACCCAACCAAGUUUAAAGUUUGGAAAACAAAAACAAAAACAAAAACAUCUGCAUAUAUUAAGCAGGGUUCUUAAAAAGAAACUAGCUAUGCACUCAGGUAGUGUAGUUGUGAUCUCUUCGCCUGCUUCUGCAAUUUUAAGUUUAUGAAGUGCUGUCGAUCCUCUUCCUCCUCUUCUUGAAUUCCCUUACUCUUCUAUAAUGAGUAUUGAAAUCAAUUGAGACGCGCAAAGAUUGUUGUCUUCUUACUCUGCUCAAUCUCAAAACAAGGCGGCCAGUCUUGCAGGGGGGCAUCAACCGAAUUGCCUGUCUUACUGUCUAGAAGUUAGGAUAUGCUAGAACCAAAGUCCAACAUCUUUUCGCCAUAUAUUCAUUACUUCAUUAGCAUAGGCAAGUUUCUCCUCCUGGGUCGACAACGACCGGUAGUGCUGGUCCUCACAAUCAAACCCUUCGGUGUGCGUAACGGCAGGAUAAACUGAUUCAUUUUCAAUCUUCUCCAUCUCAACCCUUCUCUUCCCCAUAUUAGUAUCUCUUUAAUCUGAUUGAUUCUUUCUCUCUCUAAACAGUUAAUUGAUCAAAACCCCUAAAGCAGAAGAAACAGAUAAGUGAACAAUAGGAGGAAGAAAAACUACCGACUUGUAAUUAACAAAAACUAAGAUAAGAUUAGAGAAGUACCAAAAUACAUAUUUAUAAAACAAACUAUGCUAAAUCCAGAUUUUGUCAAAUUUGCAUAUUCUCAACCAAUUAGAUGCAAUACGACUGAUUGCAAAAUAGUAUACAAUGUGGAUACAAAUAGCCUCAUUAUCUCCAUGUCUUGAAUUUUGCAGUGGUCAUUCUAAAAUAAACUUUUGAAAUGAAUCACCUGCUAGUUUAAUUGAGAACGAUCUGAUACCAUUCCAUUCAACACCAGGAUAUUGAAAGAUGAAGACUAGCGAUCUGAUACCAUUCCAUUCAACACCAGGAUAUUGAAAGAUGGAGACUAGCAAGCCUGCAACAUAGGCCAAAAAAUUACUUUGAACAGUUAAUUGAAUACACACAUCAACAAUGGAAACCCACCUUAAAAGAUGGAGACUAGCAAGCCCUCCUUAUGUUGCAACUGAUUGCCAUUUCCAGCCCAUGCUCAAGUCCUUCCAAUUCUAUAGCUGCAAUUGUUCUCUGCCUAGCCUUCCUCUUACAUGCUGCAAUGACCCCUCCCUCAUGAAACCCACCUUAAGUAUGCAAUACUAAAAUCUAAAGUAAAAAAUAAUAGAUCCAACGACCUUCUUGUUACAAUUUGUUAUCUGCAUCCACCUUUUUAAGUUAUGUUUGCCUAUGCAAGCUUCUCAAACAUCUCUCUACCUAUCAAGCAUUGAAUUGAAGAGAAACUCGGAACUCCUGAGAAGGAAUUUUAAAAGAUAUUUCAUUACUUAUUUCAAUGAAGAUUACAAGUAUAUAUAAAAUAAGUACAAUAAAGCCUCCAAACACAAUCAUUUAUGAGUGAUUAACCUCUAACAAUCUGACAAGUAUUUCUACACUGAGCUGUUUGAAUAUAGAGCUGGUUUGAAAACAUAAGAGCUAUAAGUUAUAGACUCCACUUCUGUUUCCACUUAAAAGCAUAUAGUCGGAUUGGAAAUCUUGAACCAGACCCACUCAACUAUCUUAGAUAUAACAAUAGCUAUUGCAAAGAGUUUUAAGAAAAAACAAACUUUUGAAAUUGUGGGAGGCUCCAUUUAGUCCUGCAACUCCGAUUCUAAAAUUUUUACCUCAUGUCAUUACACUAAGUGGCCUUAGUUCAUGCACAUGAACCAUAUAAGAAUCCAAGGAUUCCAUCUAAGGCAUAACCCUAUUUCUUUUGCAAAGGAAUACGGACUUCUCCAUGGGGCAUAAAAAUGAAGUAAAUUUUGCUCUCACCAUUGCAAAUUACAGGUUGAAUGAUAUCUGCCACCUCAGUGAAUAAGAUUCCUCAAAAUAUAUAUUUUGGAAGCUGAAAAACUGAAAACUGGUGUGUAUAGGAGUUGUGCAAACAACGAAAUAUUACUGUUAACUUGUUUAGGCUUCCUAAUGGAGCAAAAAACUUGCAACUGUUUAAUGACUGCAUGAAAGGUGUUUAAUCACGAGUCACCAGCUUAAUUUUAAACUUAAUCCUCAAAGAGUGAUCUACUUUCAAUAC